rnacentral:rRNA from 1 species
UGGGGAAUUUUGGACAAUGGGCGCAAGCCUGAUCCAGCCAUACCGCGUGAGUGAAGAAGGCCUUCGGGUUGUAAAGCUCUUUCAGACGGAAAGAAACGGUUACGGCUAAUACCCGUGACUAAUGACGGUACCGUAAGAAGAAGCACCGGCUAACUACGUGCCAGCAGCCGCGGUAAUACGUAGGGACCAAGCGUUGUUCGGAUUUACUGGGCGUAAAGGGCGCGUAGGCGGCAUGACAAGUCACUUGUGAAAUCUCUGGGCUUAACCCAGAACGGCCAAGUGAUACUGUCGCGCUAGAGUGCAGAAGGGGCAAUCGGAAUUCUUGGUGUAGCGGUGAAAUGCGUAGAUAUCAAGAGGAACACCUGAGGUGAAGACGGGUUGCUGGGCUGACACUGACGCUGAGGCGCGAAAGCCAGGGGAGCAAACGGGAUUAGAUACCCCCGUAGUCCCUGAGCGGGCUGGCAAGGCGCAU